rnacentral:rRNA from 1 species
GACGAACGCUGGCGGCGUGCUUAACACAUGCAAGUCGAACGGAAAGGCCCUGCUUUUGUGGGGUGCUCGAGUGGCGAACGGGUGAGUAACACGUGAGUAACCUGUCCUUGUCUUUGGGAUAACUUCAGGAAAAUGGGGCUAAUACCGGAUAGGAGCUCCUGCUGCAUGGUGGGGGUUGGAAAGUUUCGGCGGUUGGGGAUGGACUCGCGGCUUAUCAGCUUGUUGGUGGGGUAGUGGCUUACCAAGGCUUUGACGGGUAGCCGGCCUGAGAGGGUGGCCGGCCACAUGAGGACUGAGAGACGGCCCAGACUCCUACGGGAGGCAACAGUGGGGAAUAUUGCACAAUAGGCGGAAGCCUGAGGCAGCAACGCCGCGUGCGGAAUGACGGCCUUCGAGUUGUAAACCGCUGUCGCCUGUGACGAAGCGUGAGUGACGGUAAUGGGUAAAGAAGCACCGGCUAACUACGUG